rnacentral:tRNA from 1 species
AGGGUACAGCUCAGUGGUAGAGCAUGCGCUUGGUGUGCACAAGGUCCGGGGUUCAAUGCCCAGUACCUCUG